rnacentral:rRNA from 1 species
CGAGCACGCGCGUGUGGCAUAUCAAUAAGCGGAGGAAAAGAAACUAACAAGGAUUCCCGUAGUAACGGCGAGUGAAGCGGGAAGAGCUCAAAUUUGAAAUCUUCAAGGUUCUACCUUGACGAAUUGUAGUUUAUAGAAGUGUUUUCUGUUAGUGGAGUGGCAAAAGUUCUUUGGAAUAGGACAUCAUAGAGGGUGAGAAUCCCGUAUUUGGUCAUUCCUCCUAGCGUUGUGAUACACUUUCAACGAGUCGGAUUGUUUGGGAAUGCAGUCCAAAAUGGGUGGUAAAUUUCAUCUAAAGCUAAAUAUUGGCGAGAGACCGAUAGCGAACAAGUACCGUGAGGGAAAGAUGAAAAGAACUUUGAAAAGAGAGUUAAACAGUAGCGUGAAAUUGUCAAAAGGGAAGCGUUUGACACCAGUGUUGUUCUUCCGAAAAUCAAUUACGAAUGUUUUAUUUUUGAGGAGUUAUGACUUCAUCGGCUUGCUUCUCUCUUUACGAAACUUUCUUAAUGCACUUUUCGGUUAACAAGUCAACAUCAAUUUCUUUUGCUGUAAAAGGGUAUGAGGAAGGUGGCUUUCUUUUCGGAGUAAAGUGUUUAUAGCCUUGUAGCCUCUGCAAUCGGAGAGAUUGAGGUCUGCAGCGUAGAUCCUUCGGGGUUAGAUACAUUUGUGCUAAGUUAUAGCUUUUCAUAGACAACUUGUUGACUAUGUUAGUCUUGUAGCUUACUCGCUGAUGCUAUUUUACCUACGCUUAGGAUGUUGAUGUGAUACUGCGAGCA